rnacentral:lncRNA from 1 species
CUGGAAUGUUUUAACUGUUGACAGCGUGGGGGAGGUGUGAGAAACAGCUCAUCAUUAUUUGUCCUGGAAGCGAGAGAAGCUGGCCUGCUCAAUCUCCGUCCUCCAAAACAGAGUUGGGAAGGGCAAAGAGCUGUGGACAUGUAAAGUUGGCUUCCUCAUCUCCCUUAGUUACUUACGACGCCACCUAUUUUCGACCUCGGUGAACAAAGUUCAAGACAAAUUUUGACAGACUGCUUUCAUGGGUGCGAUGCAGAUGGCCCGUCUCCCAAUCUAUCUGCUCUACUGAGGUUCCUCUUGAUCUCUGCAAGCAUCUUCUAGAGGCAGUUCCUUCCCAACCUGGAUUAUUGCUAUGGCCCUUCUUCUACUGAACUUCUAUAGGACUCGGCCCAUGGGAACUAGAGGAACCUGUAACUGUUGUCAUGAUCAUGGUAUCUCUUCACGGCAGUAGAACAUUGGCUGAGACAGACAGGGAGAAUGUGAUACCUCCAAAGCAAGCAUUGAAAGAACUCAGCAGUUCAAAGUGUGACCACCCCAAAGUAGGAGGCACAGCAGAUCCAUUGUCAAAUCUGUGACGCAGCCAACGGCAUUUCUUUAAAUAAGACACACACAGAGGUAAAAAGUAAACAGAUCUUUAAAAGGAGAAAAGGAGAGAGAGAGAGGAGGAGGGAGAACAAGAA